AAAANACAAAUUUGGGUUUAGUUAAAAAGAAUGAACCUAAUCACCAUGCUGCAACAUAAAUUUGGAGCAUGUUCCCACAAAUGGUUGUGCUAAUGUAUCCCAUAAUUUCAUCCUUAUAAGCUGUUGGAGUAUUUAUACGGCAUAUUUGAGAAGUUUUUCCACCAUCUCAAUAAAUUCAUUGGAUAGCUUCUAGAAGUAUUUAGGAGUUAUGGAUUUAUCCUAAUCGUUGAAUUGAAGUUUUAGAAAUAAAGGAAUGGUAAUAUCUUAACAACCAACUCUUCUUCACCUGUUUGCAUCAUUGCUAGCUUCCACAAGAAGUACAAAAAUAUAUAGGAAGCGAAGAUGCAUUUCCAUAUGACCAUUUAUUUAGUAAGUUGUACAUCAAAUGAAUGCAUAUACUCACCCUGUAUCCACUCAACUGAUCAUCAAGUUUGGGUGAAUAUUGUGCCUCACCAACUCAUUUACUUUCUGCAAUUAUUCACAUAGAUAUUAGCAACUACAACUGUGAACAGUACUUACUCUAAUAGAGAAGAUUUAUUAGUAUAGUUUUUUGUAUGUGCAUAUAACUGUAAACUGGGUACAACCCAAAAAGCCAUUUAAGAUCCUCAAUCCGCAAAUGAAGGUAAUGAAGAAUAUACAAUAUACAAGAAAAUAGAAAAACUAAUUUAAACAAAUUACAAAAGGCAAAUAUAGGCAAUAUAAAAGGCUUGUUCAAGCUUAGUACUACAGAAUUAAGAUUCAACUACUAAUUUCCAUACAACAAACUAAUUUAAACAGAUUACAAAAGGCAAAUAUAGGAAUUAAAAUAUACGAAAAAGGCCCUCCAUUCAUAAUAGGAGAGAUUCCUAAUUCAUUCCUUAGAAUUUGGCAAUCUUUUAAAUUCUUGGCACUUAUCAAUAUAGCUAAAGUCGGGAUUGCCAUUUCACUGUCAUAAUGUAAUGAUGAAAGUGAAAGGAACUAUUCUCGAUCAAGAAUCCUAGGAAAGCAUGGCAAAAAUCGAAAUAAUUAAGAAGGAAAAAAAACAACUAGGGUGGCCAUACCUUGACAAUUUCUGUUUUCCAAAACAAGAAGAACGAGGGUUUUAGGGAUAGUUGCUUAGAGUGGGGAAGGGUUAGAGCGGGAGAUGUGCGGAUAUUUUUUGGGGGGGGAAUGGGUUGGGAGUCUAAAUAUUUUAGGUCUUAAGGGAAUGGAGAGAUUUGGGCUUUAAUCUUUUUUUUUU
rnacentral:lncRNA from 1 species